rnacentral:rRNA from 1 species
CCAAUAGCGUAUAUUAAAGUUGUUGCAGUUAAAAAGCUCGUAGUUGAAUUUCGGGGUCAGCAGGUCGGUCGUGCCACUGGUAUGUACUGGCCUUGCUGAUUCCUCCCUCUUGACGAACCGUAAUGCCAUUAAUUUGGUGUUGCGGGAAAUCAGGACUGUUACUUUGAAAAAAUUAGAGUGUUUAAAGCAGGCUUAAGCUUGAAUACAUUAGCAUGGAAUAAUGAAAUAGGACGUUCGAUCCUAUUUUGUUGGUUUCUAGGAUUGACGUAAUGAUUAAUAGGGAUAGUUGGGGGCAUCAGUAUUCAAUUGUCAGAGGUGAAAUUCUUGGAUUUAUUGAAGACUGACUACUGCGAAAGCAUUUGCCAAGGAUGUUUUCAUUAAUCAAGAACGAAAGUUAGGGGAUCGAAGACGAUCAGAUACCGUCGUAGUCUUAACCAUAAACUAUGCCGUCUAGGGAUCGGAUGAUGUUAAUUUUUUAAUGACUCAUUCGGCGCCUUACG